rnacentral:rRNA from 1 species
CCGGAAGGUUAAUAUUCUAGCGGCGGACUGGUGAGUAACGCGUGAGGAACCUGCCUUUCAGAGGGAGACAACAGUUGGAAACGACUGCUAAUACCGCAUGACACAUUUGGAUCGCAUGGUCUGGAUGUCAAAGAUUUAUCGCUGAAAGAUGGCCUCGCGUCUGAUUAGCUAGUUGGUGAGGUAACGGCCCACCAAGGCGACGAUCAGUAGCCGGACUGAGAGGUUGAACGGCCACAUUGGGACUGAGAUACGGCCCAGACUCC